rnacentral:rRNA from 1 species
AUUGAACGCUGGCGGAAUGCUUUACACAUGCAAGUCGAACGGCAGCACGGACUUCGGUCUGGUGGCGAGUGGCGAACGGGUGAGUAAUAUAUCGGAACGUAUCCAAUAAUGGGGGAUAACUAGUCGAAAGAUUGGCUAAUACCGCAUACGCCCUACGGGGGAAAGCAGGGGAUCUUCGGACCUUGCGUUAAUGGAGCGGCCGAUAUCUGAUUAGCUAGUUGGUGGGGUAAAGGCCCACCAAGGCGACGAUCAGUAGCUGGUCUGAGAGGACGACCAGCCACACUGGAACUGAGACACGGUCCAGACUCCUACGGGAGGCAGCAGUGGGGAAUUUUGGACAAUGGGCGCAAGCCUGAUCCAGCCAUUCCGCGUGAGUGAAGAAGGCCUUCGGGUUGUAAAGCUCUUUCGCAAGGGAAGAAAACUUAGCCACUAACAUUGGCUGAGGUUGACGGUACCUUGAUAAGAAGCACCGGCUAACUACGUGCCAGCCGCCGCCGUAA